rnacentral:tRNA from 2 species
UCCUGGUUGGCUCAGUUGGUAGAGCGCUCCAGUGGAAAUGGGGAGGUCCUAAUUUCGAUACCAGGACCAGGCG